GCAGGGCCUCGAGGAAGUAGGUGAGCUUCUCCAUCCCUGUCUGUCUAGAUGCAGAGAACCCAAAGCCCUGCAGGAUGGCAAAGCUGCAACAUGGAAGUCACCCGGAUCACCACGUAAAGGAAAUCUCUCCAACCAGGAACAAACACCUGCCUUGCAAUAUUAGGUGGCCACCAGACUUUCUCUGCUUGUAUCCUCCCAGGACCACAGAACUCAUCGCAUCCCAAGGCAGCCUAUUCCAUCAUGGAUGAGCUCAAAGUGUUUGAAAGUUCUGCUUUAUCAAAACUCUUGAUGGCCUGCUUCCCAUCCUCCAUCCUGGAAGACUGAUCUGAAACCCCAGGAGGAGGUCCUCUGAGCCCUGAGGCAGAGAUCUCUCACCUGGAAGAUGGGUCUAAUGACUGCGCCCCACACACACCAGAGAGGACUGCAGAUAGUGCGGGAUGAGAGGAAGAUCUCUGGCCCUGGAGACAGCAUCAUCAAGCGAAAACGUAUGAGGAAGAAAAUAGCAGAUGAGAAGAAUCAACCAAAUUCCGGAAGCUGGAAGGCAGAUGGAAGAAGGCCCUUGAAUGAUGCCAGCACCUUGAUAUUGGACUUUCCAGCCUCCAGAACCAUGAGCCAAUACAUUUCUGUUCCAUAAAAAUUACCCAGUUCCAGGUAUUCUGCUAUAGCAGCACAAAAUGGACUAAAACAAUGUUGGCACAAGACUCAGUGCUGGGCCUGGCAUGCAACAGGUCCUUGGAGUGGCGUGCUGUGUGGAUAAUGAAUAUUGGGGAAGGCAUCUCUCUCCAGCCCCUCUCAAGCUUUCUGUAGUCACUGGUCCACUCUGUAUUGCUAUGAAGAAGCUCAAGACCAGCCUGUAUCACUCGGGGUCCUGGCAGGAACCAGGUGCCACACUCAAACUGAGUAAUUGAAGAGGGUUUAAUAUGGGAGUUAUUUACAUAGGUGUGGGCUGGUGUAGCUGCCCAUAUGCCCUCAAAAUCACCUCUACAUGGCAAUAGCUACUUACUGCUAACAGAGUCUCUCUCUCAUUGCUGCAAAUAUUUUCUAGCCAUGCAAGAAACUCAGCCGGUCAUGUUGAACAAACUAAGAGUGCCAGGAAGUUAAUGUCCUGGAAGCAUUGCCAGAGGGGAGGGGGCAGUUAGAUUCCCCAGCUUCCUCGCUCCUCUGCUGGGUUAAGCCUGCAACAUAUUCAUCAUCUCCCAGAGUGCUGCCCAGGGAUAGAGCUCCAGGUGCUCAGUGUGGUGACCUGCUCAUGUCAGCUUCUUCCCCUUUCCUGUCUUGUUUCGCACCCACAUCCUUCCCAUGUUUCCUCUUCCCAAAUAAACUACUUGCAUUGAAAUCUUUGUCUCAGGCUCUGCUUCUGGGGAAACCUGAAC
rnacentral:lncRNA from 1 species